rnacentral:rRNA from 1 species
CACAACCACCACACCACCCUGAAAACACUUCAUUCCAUCAGAUUUUGAAUGCUAAACAGGAUUGGGUCUGAGUAGUACUUAGAUGAGAGUCCAAUAGAGAAAAGUGUUUAAGCAUGGGC